rnacentral:tRNA from 1 species
AAUAUUAAUUGCUUGUAAUUUUAUUAGUUAGAAUUUUAAUUUAAAGGUUGCAGUUAGAUGC